rnacentral:misc_RNA from 1 species
AUUGGUUCAUGGGUGGUUCAGACGCUCCUCAACCGCGGCUACACCGCCAUUUACGCCGCCAUCUUCCCCGGUUCCGAUCCUUCGCACCUCCACUCUCUCGCCGGUGCGUCUAACCCCGGCGUGCGAAUAUUGGUUCACGAAGUCAACAUCCUUGACGCUGAUGCGGUCUCUAGGGCAAUUGAGGGAUGCGGUGGCGGCGGCGUCUUCCACGUGGCGUCGCCGUGUACGCUAGAGGAUCCGGUGGACCCGCAGAA